rnacentral:lncRNA from 1 species
CACAUUCUAACAGAAAAAAAUCUCUCUCUCUCAUUUGGCUCAUUCUUCAUUUUGUAAAGUCUGUCAAAAACUCCAAAGAAACUAAGCCUUGCCUUGCCUAAAACAUCAUUCAAACAACCUUGUGAGCACAUUGCAACCUUAUUUUUCUAUUUGGCUCAUUCUUCAUUUUGUAAAGUCUGUCAAAAACUCCAAAGAAACUAAGCCUUGCCUUGCCUAAAACAUCAUUCAAACAACCUUGUGAGCACAUUGCAACCUUAUUUUUCCAACUGGAAGCUUCUCUCCCACUGCUGUUUUAAAGAGGCAUCGGCCAUGGCAGCAUUCGUGUUCCU